AGUGAGACUGCUGACAUCUUAAGGCCGCUGUGGUAUGGGUCUCUGUCACAUACAAGCACAGAAACUCAGCACUCAAAUUGACAAACUCAAAAAUGUGGUGAGGGAUUGGUAAAAGAAGACUUGGGUUUCCUUGAGGUCUCCUGGGGAACUCCAGUUAUCCAAGGAUAUCAUGAUGUUAAGUGUUUUUGAUGAACCACAGAGCACCUUCAAUGAGCAGAAUACAUCCUCCUUUCCCACAGAUGCAUCACAAAGCAUGGCAUGGAAAACAUAGGACAUUUACAGCUGCAGCUGGUGAUUCACUGUUCUUUCCUUCCUCUGGAAAGUCCUGACACAUUCUCAGCCAUUUCAGUGAAUGUGCUUCUGAUGGGUCUCUAGGUCUAGUCUAUGUGAUUGGAAAGGGAUUCCAAGUCCUUCCAGAUGGAAAGCUCAUUUGAAGCAGAAGAAUUUGGCAACCAUCCCAUGAUGCUUCCUAUUACAAGACUGAGCCAUUGACUUUGGGUGAUGACUUCUAAUCAGAAAAGCAAUCAUUUCAAUAGCCUAUGUGAUCAUAUCAUUAAAUCCAUCACUACUCUACAAAUCCUGCAGUUAGGAGUGAAGAGAUUAAUCUUGCUCUAAAUGUGAAACACUUGCAAUGUAUAAAAUACUGCUAUUCUUGUGCUUCCAGAGAGCCACAUGGAUGACUCUUGAUCAGAAAUCAUUAAUUUUUUUUUUGUGCUUCUGCAAACAGCCGUCAGAAGUACUGAUCUGUUUUACAUGUAAAAUAUGAACUCAGGGACUCUGCUCAAAUAACAUAGCUUAUGCAAUUUUAUACCUUUGUGAAUAAAAUAAGUGAUAUUACUGUGAUGAACAUUUGUAAAUCACCAAGUAUGGAAUGGUAACCUUCAGUUUUACUACCA